rnacentral:rRNA from 1 species
UUAAAUUGAAGAGUUUGAUCAUGGCUCAGAUUGAACGCUGGCGGCAGGCCUAACACAUGCAAGUCGAACGGUAACAGGAAGCAGCUUGCUGCUUUGCUGACGAGUGGCGGACGGGUGAGUAAUGUCUGGGAAACUGCCUGAUGGAGGGGGAUAACUACUGGAAACGGUAGCUAAUACCGCAUAACGUCGCAAGACCAAAGAGGGGGACCUUCGGGCCUCUUGCCAUCGGAUGUGCCCAGAUGGGAUUAGCUUGUUGGUGG